AUGAACGCUGGCGGCGUGCCUAAUACAUGCCAGUCGAGCGCACAGACGAGGAGCUUGCUCCUCUGACGUUAGCGGCGGACGGGUGAGUAACACGUGGAUAACCUACCUAUAAGACUGGGAUAACUGCGGGAAACCGGAGCUAAUACCGGAUAAUAUAUUGAACCGCAUGGUUCAAUAGUGAAAGACGGUUUUGCUGUCACUUAUAGAUGGAUCCGCGCCGCAUUAGCUAGUUGGUAAGGUAACGGCUUACCAAGGCAACGAUGCGUAGCCGACCUGAGAGGGUGAUCGGCCACACUGGAACUGAGACACGGUCCAGACUCCUACGGGAGGCAGCAGUAGGGAAUCUUCCGCAAUGGGCGAAAGCCUGACGGAGCAACGCCGCGUGAGUGAUGAAGGUCUUCGGAUCGUAAAACUCUGUUAUUAGGGAAGAACAAAUGUGUAAGUAACUAUGCACGUCUUGACGGUACCUAAUCAGAAAGCCACGGCUAACUACGUG
rnacentral:rRNA from 1 species